UCACUCUGACUAAUAGUGUUGGCUCCUGUUUCCGGGGAGAAAACAUUCCAAGGCCCCAAGUCAGGAUAUUAAUCCCACCUCAUUUUUUAAGAGAAAAAUACUUAAUCAUUUGCCAAGAGCAAAACAAUUGGGACCAUGAGAGAGCACCUGACCUGAAAUACCAGCCAAAUUCCUCUCCAGUCAAACCCAGUCCCUUUGGUCAAUCAGUUUAAAUCUAAAGGUAUGUUUGUGUUUCUAGACUGUCCUGAGGCUCCACCCCCUGUAGAGGACAGGGCUUCCUCCUCCAACUUCCUGAGAGGGAGAAAGGGCAUGAAUGCUCUGCACACAUAUCUGUUGCUCUGCAGGGUCGGCUAGGAUGGGGAAAGAGCUUCAGAGAUCCAUUUGAGAAGGAAAGCUCCACUCCAAGAGGAAUGCAAGUUACAUUUGUGCUCUAUAAAAUCGGUAUCUCCCAAUUUAUUUACCCUGGCAUGAUUAUUUAUCUGACAUUAUGUUGCAGCAGUAACCCAGGAAGUUUCUUUGUAGUUGCUCUGUUACCACUCUUGUUUUGCAGUAACUCUGUAAAUAACUUGUGUCACUAUUCUAUGUCCCAUUUCCAGAUGGAAGAUAAGACCGUUAUUUCUGCUUCAGUGCAAAAUCUUAACAGCUGAUAUAAGAAGGUGUUCAGAUUCCUAUCUAAAUUACAUGCCAGACAUUCUGCAUUAACAUUGAUAGCUUAGAGAGCCUUGGAGACAUGUGAAGAUAUUUUAAUCAACAGUAGAGCAUGGAAGAGAUGUAAGAGAUGUAAGAAACUUCAGAAAUGGGCAUUCAAAAACCAUGAGUAUCUCCUGCACUCCUUCCCUUCUCAAAAGCAGGAAAAAAAAAAUUUUAAGUGGUAUGGCCUUUAUCUCUGUGUCUAGUUGAUAUGGGAUCGUUUUGAAAACUUUUUCAUUUAAGCAGCUACAAGCCACACCCCCACUGAUAUCAAGCACAGUGUGGAGGCAGAGGCACAAUGAAGAAUGUCCAAUAACAAUAAAAAAGUGGUUUAUGAUGUAAGAAA